CACAGGAACACAAACUAUUUCUGAAUGAUCGAGCCGGGCCUGGCAGACGUGUUUGGGCUUGUCUUUGAUCCCGAGAGGAAUAGCACAUAAUACUGAAGUUUGUGCAAAACUGCCUGUUAUGAAUUUAGAGUUCACCACCAAUAUUGUCUGUACAUAUAAACAAGCCGAUUUUAGGCUACUUUACUACACAAUAGUGUGCAGCCAUUGAUGUUAUGUCUUGUCUGUCUGUAGAUAAUAAUUGAUAAGUAAAAGAACCACGUACAGAACAAACAUGCCAAAUACAGAGAAAAACGCACACCCUCCGCUUCGUGCGGGGUCCAGGAUUGGUUCAAGGUUGGAUGCGCGUGCCCUUGUCGUCGGCGCGUGCCCCGUCCUUCAGCAGAAUCACUGCGCGCUGUGACGCUUCAGCAUCAACCAAAGCAUCACUAAUAUUUCCAAUGAAUCAUACGUCCGAAAGCUGACGAACUUGAUCCACUCCGGGAUCGCGGAUCCAUCUUUCAGUGGAGACGGGGCGUGUUUGAGGUUUAAAGAUCCACUGGAAUAGCUGUUCGGCAGCAUUUUAGGACCAUGGCGAAAAACAACAGCCUUCAUUCAAACAGCAACGGAGAGACUGAUGACUCCCCUAACAUGCUGGUGUACAGAAAGAUGGAGGAUGUUAUUGCCAGAAUGCAGGAUGAGAAAAACGGCAUACCUAUUCGUACAGUGAAGAGUUUCCUGUCCAAGAUUCCCAGUGUGUUUUCUGGUUCAGAUAUUGUCCAGUGGCUUCUGAAGAAUCUUGUGAUCGAAGAUCAAGUCGAGGCUCUUCAUCUGGGCACACUGAUGGCGGCUCACGGCUAUUUCUUCCCCAUCUCUGACCAUGUGCUCACACUUAAAGAUGACGGCACAUUCUACAGAUUCCAGACGCCAUACUUCUGGCCUUCAAACUGCUGGGAGCCUGAGAAUACAGACUACGCUGUGUACUUGUGCAAAAGAACAAUGCAGAACAAAGCUCGCCUGGAACUCGCUGAUUACGAAGCUGAGAGUUUAGCACGAUUACAGCGGGCCUUCGCCAGGAAAUGGGAGUUUAUAUUUAUGCAAGCAGAGGCUCAGGCCAAAGUCGAUAAGAAGAGAGACAAAAUUGAAAGGAAAAUACUGGACAGUCAGGAAAGAGCUUUCUGGGAUGUGCACAGACCGGUGCCGGGGUGUGUGAACACAACAGAAGUGGACAUAAAGAAAUCAUCCAGGAUGAAAAACCCUCACAAAACGAGAAAGUCUGUCUACGGCCUUCAAAAUGACAUUCGCAGCCACAGCCCGACACACACACCGGCCCCUGAGGCCAAGCAGCUAACCGUGGAAGAGCUUCAGGAACAGAUCAAGUAUUGGCAAUCACAGCUAGACAGACAUCGAUUGAAAAUGUCCAAAGUUGCAGAGACUUUGUUGAGCUAUACUGAGCAGUACUCAGACUAUGACCCCUUCCUGUCCACUCCUGACCCCUCCAACCCCUGGAUAUCAGAUGACACAACACUCUGGGAGAUGGAGGCCAGUAAGGAACCCGGUCAGACAAGAGUUAGACGCUGGGGCUUUGGUAUUGAUGAGGUCCUGAAAGAUCCCGUUGGUCGAGAGCAGUUCCUCAAAUUCCUGGAGUCAGAAUUCAGCUCAGAAAACCUCAGGUUCUGGUUGGCAGUGCAGGAAUUAAAGAGGAGGACGAUUCGUGAGGUGCCAUUGCGCGUGCAAGAGAUCUGGGAGGAGUUUUUGGCUCCCGGAGCUCCAAGUGCCAUCAACGUUGACUCAAAGAGUUACGAUAAGACCACACAGAACGUCAAAGACCCGGGGCGGUAUACUUUUGAGGAUGCACAGGAGCACAUCUACAAGCUGAUGAAAAGCGACUCUUACAGCCGUUUUAUUAGAUCCAGUGCCUACCAGGAGCUUCUGCAGGCUAAGAAAAAGGUAAAUAAUUUCUACCGAUUUAAAGCGUGUACGAAGUAUAGAAACAAAAUGCAUUUGUAACACAAAACUAGAUGAAUGCACGAGAUAAAAAUCGAUCGAGACAGAACCUACUUCAAUAAAACACUUGUCAGCUCGUUUUUUAUUCUCCAUUUUAUGGUGUGUUGACUAAAGUUUGGAGGCAUACAGGAUCGCAGAACAUCCUUCGAAAAGUUCACUCGUAAUGUGGUAAGUGGUAGUGGCCCCACCCCCUCGAUGACGGCUUACCUGACCAAUCAGACACCAGCUCUGGUCAGAUGAAGCUUUUAUGGCGCUUUUUCCCGUCCCCAAACCUUGUGAUGUCACGUUAAAUCAUGUCGUAACGACAAAAUGUCUGUCGAUUUCCGACAGGGUUAAGCAAGAUCUUCACUUUUCUUUGUGUCUUUUUAAAGGAAGCAUUUAUCUGUCGUUUCUCUCUCUCUGCAUGUCUCUGCAUUUUGGUUUCCUGUUGAAACGGCUGCCAAAAUGCCCACCUGUUUCUGUUUCUCUGUCUUGUCCACAGAAAAGUAAGAACUUGUUUUGAAGGAAAGCAAUGCUUCCAGGGCAAAUCUCUGAUAUCUAAGAGGCUGCCUGUUGUCGUCCAGUCUUGCUGAGCCUCAAACAAUCCACCGAGGAUGACGACACUAUCAUCUUCAUCUAUGUCGUCUGAUUGGUCCAGACCCCAGACAUACCUUGGAAACUGGACCAAAUCACAUGCAUGUCGAAGAAGCUGAAUUUUUACAUCAGCUUCUACUUGCUACUUGCUAGUUUUAGUCUCGCAGACAGUUAGACAUUAUGGACUUUUGAGAAACGCAGCGAUGUCUUUCAAAGGAGGAAAGAGGUCUUCUCUCCUCUACUGUCUGUCAGAACUGUAGACUGAUCAAAUGAUGUCAAAAUCAGAACAUUUCAUGUAAAAAAAAUCACAAUAAAAUAUAACAGUGUAGGCACAGUGUAAAAAAACGAGAAGCUUUAGACAGAGAUGAUCUCUUCCUAUUCUCUUUCAUCUCUUUUGAGUUGGUUUUAUUACACUAUAAUGGAUUUAGCACACGUUUGCUUAUCGCACCUGUAAAGUCGCAUGGGAUAUAUCUGAACGCGACUGGCCGUGAAAAGUGUCUCAUCAGUUUUUCUUUGUUGCCUCGCUCUGUUUAUUUUUUUAUACCAUGUGUAAACACACUUUUACUUAAAGAUGUAAUAAAGUCCGUCCUUUAUC